rnacentral:rRNA from 1 species
UACGUAGGGGGCAAGCGUUGUCCGGAAUUAUUGGGCGUAAAGCGCGCGCAGGCGGUUUCUUAAGUUUGGUGUAUAAGACCAAGGCUCAACCUUGGGUGGCACUGAAAACUGGGAGACUCGAGUGCGGGAGAGGAAAGUGGAAUUCCACGUGUAGCGGUGAAAUGCGUAGAGAUGUGGAGGAACACCAGUGGCGAAGGCGACUUUCUGGACCGUAACUGACGCUGAGGCGCGAAAGCGUGGGGAGCAAACAGG